GGAAGGAAUAAGACAAAGAUGCCUGCUUUUGCCACUUCUACUUAGAAUCAUUCUAGAAAUUCUAGCCAGACCAAUGAGGUCCCCCUUCUCCAGGGCUACUGCAGUUUGCUGGAGGUUCACUCCAGACCCUGUUCACCUGAGUAUCACCCAUGGAGACUGCAGAACAGCAAAGAUUGCUUGUUCCUCUGGAAGCUUUAUCCCAGAGGGGCACCCGCCUGAUGCCAGCUGGAGUUCUUCUGUAUGAGGUUGCAGGUUUUGCAGAGAAAGACCACAGAGGAAAAGUAUCAUUCUCAUCAUGUGACGUCAAGGGUGUACUCUGCCAGUUUUACUCACAACUGUUGAUGUUGACCUUGAUCACCUGGAUUUGGCAGCUUCUGUCAAGUUUCCCCACUGUAAAGUCACACAGAAACAUUCUUGAUUUGGCCAACUCUGCACUGGGAGCUAAGGCGAGCCGACAGAGCAGGUGUCUGCAAUGCAUCAGGCGCAGGCAGGUGCAGCACACAGGCAGCAAGCAUGGCAGAGCAACAUGGGGAAACAGUGACGGCAGCCCCACAGAAGUGCACACAGACUCCAUCAGUGGUGCUCAGCGGCAGAUGAGGGGAUCCUGAUGCAGGACCUCUGAGGGACCAAC
rnacentral:lncRNA from 1 species